rnacentral:lncRNA from 1 species
ACAGUGCUCCAGUGACAUGAGGUGUGUUUUUAUCUUUGGUUAUCUAGCUGUAUGAGUGUUAAAUACCUGUCAUAAAGCUAGAUAACCGAAAGUAGAAAUGACCUCCGUAUGUAACGCUGCUCAAAGAGAGGAUUCCACUGAGGACGUCACACUUAAACCAGGUUCAGCGUUUACAGAUCUGUGAUUCCUGACGAGAGACGCCAUGAACGAAAUCAAAGGACAUGGGUGGGUGUGGGCGAAAAUGACAGACUCCUCCUUUUCCUCUCGCACUUACCCAUGAUGCCAUCUGCCGUGCCAACACUGUGCCCGUGUGCCAGGAGAAGGACAAACAAAGACCCUGUCGCAUUCCUGGAGAAAAGGCCGCCCGCGCGUGGAGAAGAAGCCAUCUUGGGAGAUGUUGUUUGCUGCAACACAUAAAAUGGCUGGGCUGGCAUACGAGGCAGUGACACAAACCAUCAGCAUCUACCGGACAACCGAACUACGGAUCAAACUCAGAGGAAACUUGCGAUCAUGCUGUGGACUCCCACCAAUUAAAAAGAAUGUCAGACUUGUUAAGAGUUCAGUGACCAAUCACAGAGCUGCAUUAUGAAAUGUGACUGUGUGUCUUUUUGUGAACAGAAAUACAAUUGUUUUUUUAUAUUGUCAUAAUUAUUCAAUAUCUGAGAUCAGAUGCUGGUUAAGAUGAUUUCAUCUGAUUUGUGGUAGUUUUCUAUCCAAGACCAAAAACAUAUAUGUAUGUAUGUGUGUAUGUAUGUAUGUGUGUAUGUAUGUCUGAAGAGUCUAAUUAAUUAAUGUAAGUCAAUGUGCAUGUGUGCUCAGGAUUAUGUCUGCAUGAUGAUGGACUGUUAACCAAUGCAGGGUGUACAAAAAACAAACAGACUGAAGUUAAUAAAUUCCUAAAGAUUCU